rnacentral:rRNA from 1 species
AUUGAACGCUGGCGGCAGGCUUAACACAUGCAAGUCGAGCGAGCGGCGGACGGGUGAGUAAUGUCUGGGAAACUGCCUGAUGGAGGGGGAUAACUACUGGAAACGGUAGCUAAUACCGCAUACCAUCAGAUGUGCCCAGAUGGGAUUAGCUAGUGGGUGGGGUAAUGGCUCACCUAGGCGACGAUCCCUAGCUGGUCUGAGAGGAUGACAGUCCACCUGGGAACGGAGACCCGGUCCAGGCUCCAACGGGCGGCGGCGGUGGGGUUUAUUGCACGAGGGGCGCAAGCCUGAUGCGCCCAUGCCGCGUGUGUGAAGAAGGCCUUGGGGGUGUAAAGCACUUUCGGCGAGCAGGCGGUACGCGCAGAAGAGGAGCCGGCUAACUCCGUGCCAGCAGCCGCGGUAAUAC